rnacentral:rRNA from 1 species
CCUACGGGAGGCAGCAGUGGGGGAUAUUGCACAAUGGGGGGAACCCUGAUGCAGCGACGCCGCGUGGGUGAAGGAGUGCUUCGGUAUGUAAAGCCCUAUCGGCAGGGAAGAAGCAAGACGGUACCUGACUAAGAAGCCCCGGCUAACUACGUGCCAGCAGCCGCGGUAAUACGUAGGGGGCGAGCGUUAUCCGGAUUCACUGGGUGUAAAGGGAGCGUAGACGGGCAUGCAAGCCAGGGGUGAAAGCCCGGGGCCCAACCCCGGGACUGCCCUUGGAAAUGCAUGGCUGGAGUGCGGGAGGGGCAGGCGGAAUUCCUGGUGUAGCGGUGAAAUGCGUAGAUAUCAGGAGGAACACCGGCGGCGAAGGCGGCCUGCUGGACCGCGACUGACGUUGAGGCUCGAAAGCGUGGGGAGCGAACAGGAUUAGAUACCCCAGUAGUC